UCCAGUUCAGUAUACUGCUUUGCUUGCUUGGUUCGUUGCGAGGAUUCUGUCCAUGUCUGUUUAGUGCUUGCUUAGCUUAUCUUCAUCUCGAGCUUAUUGAGUUCAUUGGCUUUUAAUGCAUGCUGCACCAUGUAAAACCUUUACUUUUAGGCAUUCUUAUUAUGACACACGUUUGAGCAUGAUUUAAGUCCACUUAUUUCAAUCCAGGUAUAAGACUGCCUUAUGAGUUCAUCAGUGGUAACAGUGUGGCAUUCAAUGGGAAAUAUUUUAGUACAAGCUUAAAUCAAACUCAUGCAUUAUAAAAUAGAAAUCGUUCCUUGUACCUGGAGAAUGAUUUUGUUUGAAUUAAGUGGGUAAUAUAUAUAUAUAUAUAUACUCUGUUCAGCACAUGACAUUGGAUUAUGAAGGUGGCAGCAUGGACUGUUUCCCACAAAAAUAUCACCUACUUUUGGUGAUAGGAUCUCAAAAGCAUGCAUAUUAUCUAUAUAAUCAGCAGCAUGUUUAAAUGUUUCUAUUUACAGAGCAAACAUUUCAAAAAUCGAGUUCAGGCUUCUCAUCAACCUUACUUCAAUGGUGGUACUUACAUUACUCUUUGGGUGUCAGUGGUUAAGAAAGAAAAAGCUUGGAUACAAAACAUCUCCUUGGAUAGAUAAGAAGGAUUAAACAACAACAUGAAUCGACGUAUGUAUUUUUACCUAUUCUUGUGCAGAUAAAUGGUUGCAUGGAAUCCUUAAAGCAAUUUGAAGCAUGGUAUAGAGACAAGUUAAUAAAUGUUUAUCUUUAACCGAACAAUUCUCCAAAUUACUCUUGGAACAUGUCUCUAUAUAUGCAGCAAGUUUACAAACUUACCUCUUGUCUCCUUCCUCUUGGAUUAGGUUCCCAUAUCUGAACUUGUUGGGAAGAAUAUCCUUCUCUACUUCUCAGCGCACUGGUGCCCUCCGUGUCGUG
rnacentral:lncRNA from 1 species